rnacentral:rRNA from 1 species
UACGUAGGGCGCAAGCGUUUGUCCGGGAAUUAUUGGGCGUAAAGAGCUCGUAGGCGGUUUUGUCGCGUCUGUCGUGAAAAGCCCACGGCUUUAAACCGUGGGUCUGCGGUGGAUACGGGGCAGACUAGAGGCAGGUAGGGGAGAAUGGAAUUCCCGGUGUAGCGGUGGAAUGCGCAGAUAUCAGGAGGAACACCGAUGGCGAAGGCAGGUCUCUGGGCCGCAACUGACGCUGAGGAGCGAAAGCAUGGGGAGCGAACAGG